rnacentral:rRNA from 1 species
GACGAACGCUGGCGGCGUGCUUAACACAUGCAAGUCGAACGGAAAGGCCCUGCUUGCAGUGUACUCGAGUGGCGAACGGGUGAGUAACACGUGCGUGAUCUGCCCUGCACUUCGGGAUAAGCCUGGGAAACUGGGUCUAAUACCGGAUAGGUGCCAUUUUUAGUGUGAUGGUUGGAAAGUUUUUUCGGUUUAGGGUGAGCUCGCGGCCUAUCAGCUUGUUGGUGGGGUAAUGGCCUACCAAGGCGGCUACGGGUAGCCGGCCUGUGAGGGUGGACGGCCACAUUGGGACUGAGAUGCGGCCCAGACACCUACGGGAGGCAGCAGGGGGGAAUAUUGCCCAAUGGGCGCAAGGCUGAUGCAGCGACGCCGCGGGGGGGAUGACGGCCUUCGGGUUGUAAACUCAUUUCGCUAGGGACGAAGCUUUUUGUGACGGUACCUAGAUAAGAAGCACCGGCUAACUACGUG